UCUCGCAAAAUCCCUCGAGAUCAAACGUGACUUCAGAGUAAACAAUUAUGGCGGAUUUAUAUGCUGUCUAUGAGAGGAUGCAGUGGUGAUAGUUUGUAGUUAGUUUCAACCGAAAAAAAAGGUUAUCAAAAGAAAAGGCGAUGGUCAAAGAAGUGGAGACAAUGCCAGCAUGGACUAUACUUGCUACAUCAUGAUAUGGAGCUGGCCGCUCUCCAGCAGAGAAGACAUCCUCCCCUCCCCCGUCAGGCUGGUUCCGGCCGCUUCUUCUGCCGCUGCACCCAUGGCUGCGUGAUUAGUGUUUCCUGUUGUCUAACCACGGCAGAGACUUUGCACAGCACUCUUCUCAAACUAACUUGUCUCACUCAACUUUUGAUAAACACAUAAGAUGGAA